AGUGAACGCUGGCGGUAGGCCUAACACAUGCAAGUCGAACGGCAGCACAGUAAGAGCUUGCUCUUACGGGUGGCGAGUGGCGGACGGGUGAGGAAUACAUCGGAAUCUACUUUUUCGUGGGGGAUAACGUAGGGAAACUUACGCUAAUACCGCAUACGACCUACGGGUGAAAGCAGGGGAUCUUCGGACCUUGCGCGAUUGAAUGAGCCGAUGUCGGAUUAGCUAGUUGGCGGGGUAAAGGCCCACCAAGGCGACGAUCCGUAGCUGGUCCGAGAGGAUGAUCAGCCACACUGGAACUGAGACACGGUCCAGACUCCUACGGGAGGCGGCAGUGGGGAAUAUUGGACAAUGGGCGCAAGCCUGAUCCAGCCAUACCGCGUGGGUGAAGAAGGCCUUCGGGUUGUAAAGCCCUUUUGUUGGGAAAGAAAAGCAGCAGGUUAAUACCCCGCUGUUCUGACGGUACCCAAAGAAUAAGCACCGGCUAACUUCGU
rnacentral:rRNA from 1 species